rnacentral:rRNA from 1 species
CCUACGGGUGGCAGCAGUGGGGAAUAUUGGACAAUGGGGGCAACCCUGAUCCAGCCAUGCCGCGUGUGUGAAGAAGGCCCUCGGGUUGUAAAGCACUUUCAGUGAGGAAGAACGCCUGGUGGUUAAUACCCAUCAGGAAAGACAUCACUCACAGAAGAAGCACCGGCUCAACUCCGUGCCAGCAGCCGCGGUAAUACGGAGGGUGCGAGCGUUAAUCGGAAUUACUGGGCGUAAAGCGCGCGUAGGUGGCUUGAUAAGCCGGUUGUGAAAGCCCCGGGCUCAACCUGGGAACGGCAUCCGGAACUGUCAAGCUAGAGUGCAGGAGAGGAAGGUAGAAUUCCCGGUGUAGCGGUGAAAUGCGUAGAGAUCGGGAGGAAUACCAGUGGCGAAGGCGGCCUUCUGGACUGACACUGACACUGAGGUGCGAAAGCGUGGGUAGCAAACAGGAUUAGAUACCCCGGUAGUC